GAAUAAGAAGAUGAGGUUGGUUUCUGGGAAGAACCAAAUAGCCGGAUAGGUAAAGGAAAUCCUGGUGACCUGGCUACCGCAGGCAGGGAUUCCAGGUGCUGCCCCGCAACGGUAAUCUCCCGAUGUAACAUCGUGAUGAGCCCGGACGAUUGCCUAUUUUGGAAAGUAUUC
rnacentral:ncRNA from 1 species